rnacentral:rRNA from 1 species
GUGGGGAAUAUUGGGCAAUGGGGGAAACCCUGACCCAGCGACGCCGCGUGAGGGAAGAAGGCCUUAGGGUCGUAAACCUCUGUUGUGUGGGAAGAAGAGCGUGACGGUACCACACGAGGAAGUCCCGGCUAACUACGUGCCAGCAGCCGCGGUAAUACGUAGGGGACGAGCGUUGUCCGGAUUUACUGGGCGUAAAGGGCGCGUAGGCGGUCAUUUAAGUCAGCUGGGAAAUGGUUUGGCUUAACCGGAUCAUGCGGUUGAAACUGAGAGCAUGAAUUGCUGGAGAGGCAAGUGGAAUUGCCAGUGUAGCGGUGAAAUGCUAAGAUAUUGGGAAGACACCCGGUGGCGAAGGCGACUUGCAGGCCAGCAACUGACGCUGAGGCGCGAAAGCCAGGGGGGCAACCGGGAUUAGAAACCCUGGUGGUCC